UACGUAGGGGGCAAGCGUUACCCGGAUUCACUGGGCGUAAAGCGGGUGUAGGCUGCUCGGUAAGUCGGGUGUGAAAUCCCACGUCUCAACCGUGGAAUUGCGCCCGAACCUGCUGCGCUUGGGGCCGGUAGAGGGAGACGGAACUGCCGGUGUAGGGGUGAAAUCCGUAGAUAUCGGCAGGAACGCCGGGGGGGAAGCCGGUCUCCUGGGCCGCGCCCGACGCUGAGGCCCGAAAGCUAGGGGAGCAAACCGG
rnacentral:rRNA from 1 species